UAGGCAGGUACAGUGGGAAGGCCACCUGGCGACAGGGAGCGGAACCCGAAAGCCUGUCUCAGUUCGGAUUGGAGUCUGCAACCCGACUCCAUGAAGCUGGAUUCGCUAGUAAUCGCGCAUCAGCCACGGCGCGGUGAAUACGUUCCCGGGCCUUGUACACACCGCCCGUCAAGCCAUGGAAGCCGGGGGUGCCUGAAGUGCGCUGCCGCAAGGAGCGCCCUAGGGUAAAACCGGUGACUGGGGCUAAGUCGUAACAAGGUACC
rnacentral:rRNA from 1 species